rnacentral:rRNA from 1 species
CCCUUAGAUGUUCUGGGCCGCACGCGCGCUACACUGACUGGUGCAACAAGUGUCUGACCUUGGCUCGAGAGGCCUGGGCAACCUUUGAACGCCAGUCGUGCUGGGGAUAGAUUCUUGCAAUUAUUAAUCUUCAACGAGGAAUUCCUAGUAAACGCAAGUCAUCAGCUUGCAUUGAUUACGUCCCUGCCCUUUGUACACACCGCCCGUCGCUCCUACCGAUUGAGUGAUUCGGUGAAUAAUUCGGACUGCAGCAAUGUUUGGAUCCCGAACGUUGCAGCGGAAAGUUUAGUGAACCUCAUCACUUAGAGGAAGGAGAANUCGUAACA